rnacentral:rRNA from 1 species
CUACGGGAGGCUCCAGUGGGGGAUAUUGCGCAAUGGGGGAAACCCUGACGCAGCAAUGCCGCGUGAAGGAAGAAGGUCUUCGGAUUGUAAACUUUUGUCUUCAGGGACGAAACAAAUGACGGUACCUGAGGAGGAAGCCACGGCUAACUACGUGCCAGCAGCCGCGGUAAUACGUAGGUGGCAAGCGUUGUCCGAAUUUACUGGGUGUAAAGGGCGUGUAGGCGGGAUUGUAGGUCAGAUGUGAAAUACCCGGGCUUAACCCGGGGGCUGCAUUUGAAACCACAGUUCUUGAGUGCUGGAGAGGGAAGCGGAAUUCCUAGUGUAGCGGUGAAAUGCGUAGAUAUUAGGAGGAACACCAGUGGCGAAGGCGGCUUUCUGGACAGUAACUGACGCUGAGGCGCGAAAGCGUGGGGAGCAAACAGGAUUAGAUACCCUUGUAGUC